UGUCGUGUCAUUUUCUUUUGGCCCUGUUCUCCUCUGUGUUGGCGUCAUUCUCAGGCAGAUACCUUGCGGUGGCUGCCAGGAGCUCUGGGCUUUCUUCCUCCCAGUUCAGCCUCACCAAAAGGAAGAGAGCUUUUCAUUCCCAAAGGCCUUUGCCUUUGCUGACAUCCUGGGGUUCCUGCUUAUUGUCCUGACUCAUCUCACAUGCUCAUCCCUGAACCUGGACUGCUGACCAGCUGGGACAAGGCCAGGUGCACAUUCCUGGAGCUCCAGACACGUCGUACAUUUUUCAUCUGUUGAUCGGUGGCCUAGCCCUCUAGGAUAUGCAUCACUUGAAGGCGGGGUUUUGCUUUGCUGACUGCUACAUCCCCCAAGGACAGGGCUGGAACUAGGGUGAGAUGUAAGAGCCAGCGCUUCCCCAUCCGGGUCCGCAGAUUCAGCCUUCCUUACAGAUCUUCACAUCCCUGUCCCUGGUGCCCUCCAGAAAAUAAAACAAAAGUCUAUCCAGCUUGUUUUCUCCAUACCUUUUUAUUGAACUCUGCAUACUUCAGUAAGAGACCAUUUGCUUAGAAAUUCUUAAACAUGUGGACAUAUUUUACAGGACAGGACAGCAGCUGGAGGUCACAAUUUCAUUGCAUCACAUGCAUAAAAAGACACUGGGUUUCUUGUUUCAUUUCCUGUGUGUGUGCUUGUGUGUGUGUGUGUGUGUGUGUGUGUGUGUGUGUGUGUGUGUGUGUAUGCAAUGCUCAUUUUCACUUUUUUAGAAGGACUGGAGACGUCAGCUGACCAGAGAUGAACAGGACCCAGGAAUGCGGCCCCGAGAAAAGAGCAGCAAAGGACAUUGGUCAUUUAUGGCUAAUGUGAUUGGCUUGGCCCCCAUCAUGUGUGGGGCGAUUGGAAUGGCUUUGCUGGCAGAAAAGCCUCAACCUCACACCACAGUUCCUGGGAGAGACAAAGGGUCUUAGCUAAUGGGAUCAUCAGGGUGCAUGCUACUGCGGGGGGCACUGGGGCUCAGGGGAAAGGAAGACCCAUCGGCUCUGAAAACUGGAGGACAGGUUGUGGUCUUUCCAGCUGAACUCACAUGGCUCAGGAAUAUGAUGCGGUUUCCAGAUGUCAGCUCCUAUGAUGCUGCUCUAGCAAGUCCCAGACCAGAGGAAAUCCCUACUUUGGCCUCUUGGCUUUAGACUAUGUCUGUGAGCUCAACAUAAGGCUGAUGAUGCAGACUAGAGGAGUAGGAAGGAGCCGCAGGCUCCCCCACAGGCCCUGGAAAUGUCACCCUGAGAAGGCUCUAGAUCUUAGGGCAGACAAGUGUCAAAUAUGGACAUAAUCUUGGCCUGUCAUUAAGUCAAAGGCCAGAUAGUAUUGGUAGGGCGUACAGGCUUCAAUGGGAGGGCCCCCACAUUUCUCCUUCCUUCCCAGUUAGCAAUCCCUCAAGCCAGGUAAGAGCUAAUGACUCCUCCAUUCACUCCUCCAUUCAUUCACUCUGAGCUCAUUCACACAUUCACUCAUUCAAAGAAACACAGUUGGGUGACCACUAUGUGCCAAGGGCAUACUUGGAGGAUAACCCUGAGUUCCUGGUGCAGAAAAUGAUGUUCCCAGUCCUUGACCUUGGACUGAAGCCAGGAGGGCAAGGGGGCCAGCU